rnacentral:rRNA from 1 species
GACAGAGGUCUCGAGCGUUAGGCGGAAUCACUGGGCUUAAAGCGUGUGUAGGCGGACUUGUAAGUACCUUGUGAAAUCCCACGGCUCAACCGUGGAACUGCUUGGUAUACUGCUUGUCUUGGGCCAUCUAGGGGUUACCGGAACAAACGGUGGAGCGGUGAAAUGCGUAGAUAUCGUUUGGAACGCCAAUGGUGAAAAACAGGUAACUGGGGGAUGUGCCGACGCUGAGACACGAAAGCCCAGGGGGAGCGAACGGGGAUUAGAAACCCUACGGUA